rnacentral:rRNA from 1 species
UACGUAGGGGGCGAGCGUUGUCCGGAAUCAUUGGGCGUAAAGAGCUCGUAGGCGGUUCAGUAAGUCGGCUGUGAAAUUCCGAGGCUCAACCUCGGAACUGCAGUCGAUACUAUUGUGACUAGAGUCCGGUAGAGGAGAAUGGAAUUCCCGGUGUAGCGGUGAAAUGCGCAGAUAUCGGGAGGAACACCGAUGGCGAAGGCAGCUCUCUGGGACGGUACUGACGCUGAGACGCGAAAGCGUGGGGAGCGAACAGG